GAUGAACGCUGGCGGCGUGCUUAACACAUGCAAGUCGAACGGGAUCCAUCAGGCUUUGCUUGGUGGUGAGAGUGGCGAACGGGUGAGUAAUGCGUGACCGACCUGCCCCAUACACCGGAAUAGCUCCUGGAAACGGGUGGUAAUGCCGGAUGCUCCGACUCCUCGCAUGGGGUGUCGGGAAAGAUUUCAUCGGUAUGGGAUGGGGUCGCGUCCUAUCAGGUAGCCGGCGGGGUAACGGCCCACCGAGCCUACGACGGGUAGCCGGCCUGAGAGGGCGACCGGCCACAUUGGGACUGAGAUACGGCCCAGACUCCUACGGGAGGCAGCAGUGGGGAAUAUUGCACAAUGGGCGCAAGCCUGAUGCAGCGACGCCGCGUGCGGGAUGACGGCCUUCGGGUUGUAAACCGCUUUUGAUCGGGAGCAAGCCUUCGGGUGAGUGUACCUUUCGAAUAAGCACCGGCUAACUACGUGCCAGCAGCCGCGGUAAUACGUAGGGUGCAAGCGUUAUCCGGAAUUAUUGGGCGUAAAGGGCUCGUAGGCGGUUCGUCGCGUCCGGUGUGAAAGUCCAUCGCUUAACGGUGGAUCUGCGCCGGGUACGGGCGGGCUGGAGUGCGGUAGGGGAGACUGGAAUUCCCGGUGUAACGGUGGAAUGUGUAGAUAUCGGGAAGAACACCAAUGGCGAAGGCAGGUCUCUGGGCCGUUACUGACGCUGAGGAGCGAAAGCGUGGGGAGCGAACAGGAUUAGAUACCCUGGUAGUCCACGCCGUAAACGGUGGAUGCUGGAUGUGGGGCCCGUUCCACGGGUUCCGUGUCGGAGCUAACGCGUUAAGCAUCCCGCCUGGGGAGUACGGCCGCAAGGCUAAAACUCAAAGAAAUUGACGGGGGCCCGCACAAGCGGCGGAGCAUGCGGAUUAAUUCGAUGCAACGCGAAGAACCUUACCUGGGCUUGACAUGUUCCCGACAGCCGUAGAGAUAUGGCCUCCCUUCGGGGCGGGUUCACAGGUGGUGCAUGGUCGUCGUCAGCUCGUGUCGUGAGAUGUUGGGUUAAGUCCCGCAACGAGCGCAACCCUCGCCCUGUGUUGCCAGCACGUCAUGGUGGGAACUCACGGGGGACCGCCGGGGUCAACUCGGAGGAAGGUGGGGAUGACGUCAGAUCAUCAUGCCCCUUACGUCCAGGGCUUCACGCAUGCUACAAUGGCCGGUACAACGGGAUGCGACACGGCGACGUGGAGCGGAUCCCUGAAAACCGGUCUCAGUUCGGAUUGGAGUCUGCAACCCGACUCCAUGAAGGCGGAGUCGCUAGUAAUCGCGGAUCAGCAACGCCGCGGUGAAUGCGUUCCCGGGCCU
rnacentral:rRNA from 1 species